GUAUUCACAUUGACAGCACACAUACUAAAAUUGGAACAAUACAGAAUGUCAGCAUGGUCUCUGCACAAGGAUAACACACAAAUUUGUGAAGACUUUUAUAUUUAA